rnacentral:rRNA from 1 species
CCCUUAGAUGUUCUGGGCCGCACGCGCGCUACACUGAUGCAUUCAACGAGCCUAUCCUUGACCGACAGGUCCGGGUAAUCUUUGAAUCUGCAUCGUGACGGGGAUAGAUUAUUGCAAUUAUUAAUCUUCAACGAGGAAUGCCUAGUAGGCGCAAGUCAUCAGCUUGCGUCGAUUGCGUCCCUGCCCUUUGUACACACCGCCCGUCGCUCCUACCGAUUGGGUGUGCUGGUGAAAUGUUCGGAUCGGCCGUUUGUCGCGGUUUCCGCGGCUCGUGGCUGAGAAGUUCAUUAAACCCUCCCACCUAGAGGAAGGAGAAGUCGUAACA